CCUGCAUUUACCUGUGAGCAUUUGCCCCCUGGGAGGGGCUGCUGCGUCUUCGGAUUAAUGCCAUGUGGGGACUCCUCCUCCUCUGGCCAGCCCAUCUGUCAUUUAACUACAGAUUUAGCCAGGAGCUUAAGUACCUCUUUGGACAGAAAACAGCACAUUAAGAUCUGAAAAGAGGUAUCAAAGCCAUCAGGGUCUGUAACACAUGCAAUGUAAUCCCCUGGCUAGAGCAAGGAUGUUGAGUUUAGAACGGUGGUUAGUACGGCGUAGGGUCUAGGUGGAUUCAGCUAAAGUUCUUCCUAGUCACAUAUUAAUGUGUUGUUUUGAAGUCAUGAAGUGGUUUUCUGUCACCCAGGGUUUUCACGGAACUCUCCUUGGAAUCUGUGGCUGUGAGCAUUUCCCGCCCUGGAUCUGAUGCAUUUGCCCCAUUUCCAAAGUGUGUGCAGCUCAGAACCAGAGUCGGCAAGAACUGACUUCCUGGAAAGCCUAACGCAGCUUGGAGCUGAGUCCUUGGACGGGUGUCGCGAGCUCAGAGCGGAGGAGGCUGCUCGAUGCCCGCUUGCCCGCACUGGCUAAUCCACAGAGAGGAUUAGAGUGAGGGUUGAGUUCAGGGACAGAUUCUGCCCCUCCCUGCCUGGUUGCCCUGCGUGGAAUUUACCCAAAAGUGGGCCAUCUUUUUCUCCACAUUUUUAUACAAAUGCCUGAGUUGUGAUUUGUUUUUAAAAACUCAGGAGCAGGACUCUGCCCUCUCAGCCUCACUCCUAAGUCCCGUGUGGCCACUGUGGAGCAGGAAAUCCUGUGCCCUGCUACCUCGCCGGGCUCCUCAUGCAGAUGGCCAUGUUUGCAGAGUGUUCCUGACCCUCGGUGCCCCCCAGACACACAUGCGCAGGGAUGGGGGAUUCUCAAGCUUCUCUGAGCUGCUCCGGCUGCCCACUGGAUCCCUGGGUGCUGCCUGCCUGGAUUCAGUAAGAUGGCUCUUGGCUCAGCCCCAGUGCUGUGCAGCGGGUGUGGAGGGGUGGGGUGGCCCAAGGAGAUAACCCUGUAAGAGCACAGGGCAGUCACAGCCCAUGGAGGAGACGCAGGAGAGUGCCUGUUCCUUGGGGAGGGUGGAGAAGGCCAGCCUCAGAGGCCUCGGAGACAGCACCAGGCCCUCGGCCCCCAGCCACCUUCUGAUGAUCUGGGUGUGGUGGCGCCAGCUGUUUUGGCCCAGUAGAGGCCCAGGGGUCAUUUUCCCAUGUCCUCGCCCCUGGUCACUGUCAUCCUCUGUCCCAGGAAGAACAGGUAAGGACACAGAGGCCCAGGUGCUAUGCCGUCUCCCAGGAGGGAGGGUAGCAUGGGUUGGCUUAGCGUGGAUGCCUGUCCUGACCUCACAAGGAUCCCUGAUCUUAGGGAACUGGCUUUAUUUAUUCUCUAAGUCACCGAGAGCGCUCCGGGAAUCCUUUCUAAUUUUCUGAAAGGAUGCUCUCAUGAAACCUAUUUGUGGUUACCUUUGAAAAGAGGGAAGGGGGAUUCAAAAUUGGGAAAGAUUUUACUUUUCAGUUUUUAUAGCCUUCUGUCCUAAAACUUGGAUUUCUAACACGAGUAUGUAUAUGAGAGUAUAUGUUAUACACGCGUACACACACAUACACAUAAUGGCAUACGUACACAUAUACAUGCAAGUAUACACAUACAUCUCAACAUACCUGCAUAUGCAAUCGCACAAACAUAGUUUUGUUUUACAGCUGACAGCAAAGCACCAUCAGUUCCACGCAGAAAUCUGUGAUUGUGGCGUAAAGCUCGUCUUAAACGGACACUGUCUUUGCACUCCUGUUUCACUGUGAGAAAGAUCCCGUUGUCUUUAUAUUGUCAGCGCUCAUCUGUGCCGACUUUUAAACUCUGCAGCUUCUGGUCUGUUUCAGGCCUCGAGUCUGGCGUGAGCCGUGGGAGCUGCUUUCUUUCCCUACAAGUGUGCCCUGCUCUGCGCUCUUCCUACAGACACAGCUUCCUUCUUCCCACAUCAGCCCAAGUGAGGUGGCACCUUCCCAUUCCCAGGCAGUGCUGACACCCAGGACUGCAUCCCCUCGUCCCCUGUGUGGGGAGGCACUGCCAGGGGUGGGGGCUCCUGCCUGGGGACAGCAGCCUUUUCUACACCUCGAAUUGACUCUUGAAUUUCAAACGUCCCCUCUGUUCCUAUGUGAAUGGUGAUCUUUAGAAAAUGUCAAGCUGUGGUCACUACCUGCUUCCAUUUCAUUUGAAUCGUUUCUUCCUGAGAGUGGUACUCUCUGCAGUUGAAUGAUCUAUUUCUCAUAUAGAAGUGUUAGGAUUUGGUGUCUACGAAAGUGGCCACUCAGAAGCCCUGCUGCAGGUGCCGGGUGCAGGACUUGACCACCACACUUGCUGGGUGUUUGGCCGAUGGCCUGUGCCUUUUGUGCCCACAUGGGCAGAGCGCCCUCAAGUGCUAUGAGGGCCCAGGCAGCAGUGGAGAACACAGCUGUUGUCUGAGAAGGCAUCCUGGGCUGUACUGUUUGGCUGUGCCUGGUUGGGAGUGUCCAAGCCAGACUUCCCCGAGGUCACCCAUCUUGCUAAGCCAUGUCCCUGUCCCUGACGCAGAGACUGCAGGCAGAGCCCUCCUGCCCUUCAUCUUCCCGUUUCUAGGGCCCUCGUCCCCACGUGGCCCAUGACUAAAGUGCCACGGUUCCCAGAAUGUCCUGGGGCCGUGACCGCUCCCUCCCUGUCCUGUGGGCCUUCUGUGGGUGCCGGGGCUUGCUCGCCAUUCCCGGUUCCUGUUUCUAGCAUCUCUAGUGUAAACCUUUGAUCUAGCUGUGGAUCGCUCUGAAAAUGAGCCCAGGCAAAAAAGUACGAUGCUAGGCUUGUGUCUGGAAAUAACAUGAUUUUCCAAUGUGAUCGACGUUUGUCCUUCUGAAGCCCAAGUCCGUGUGCGACCCCAGGUGAUACUUUGUGCUCUGUUAACACAACGCGUCCCUGGCUUCUCAGCCAUGUUCCAGCAGCGGGAGCUUAGGUGUGUUGAGGGUGAGGUGCUGUUCUUGAACUUACACACAGUCAGCCCUUGGCUGUCCUCAGUGUGGUCUCUGCUGUGCUGUGAUUGGUGGCCCUCCGACCUCGUCCCCUGUGUGGGGAGGCAUUGCCCGGGUGGGGGCUGGUACCUAGAGACAGCAGCCUUUUCCAAACCUUGAUUUGAGUCUUAAACGUCACACUUCUUCUUAGAGCCAGAGAGGAGUGACUGAUUUCCUCUUAAAAGUUAUUUGCCACAUACAAGCUUAAACAAAAGAAAGAAAACAAUCUCUCUCCCAGUUCUAAAUGUUUCAAAACUCUUGGGGUAGAACCAAGGCUGGGCCAAGAUGCUAGAGGGCAAGUGUUCUGGAGCCGGGGGGCCUGGUGUUCAAGCACAGACUCGACCUCGGCGCCCCUGGGACAGUGGGGAUGCCGCCAGCCAGGCUGGGCAGGCAAGGAUCAGGGAUGGAAUGCCUGGGCUCUUUGUAGUGGAGUCUGUUUGCUGCAGCCUCCUAGGCUACCCCUGGAGGGCUUAGAUCCACCUUUCUGCAGCAGUGAGUCACUGCCCCUAUCAGGGAAGGGUCAUGCUCACCUCUGCGCCAUGUGAAUCAUCACUGUGACAUUGUCGUGGGUCCUGUGCGUCCAUCCAGCUCAGCACGUCCCAGCGAUCUGGGUCAUUUCUGCCUCCCCAACAACCGCCCCCCGGGCAGUGGCCUCCACCCCUCAGCAGCCCUCCCCCUCCAUCCAGAGCUGCACAUCAGGCUGGUCACUUCUGUCCCUCCUUGUGCUUUCAGGAGUGGACAUACUUGCCAGGGCCCACAGCCCCUGCCCAGCACCGGGGGUCAGCCUUGCCCCAGAGAUGUUACUGGUGGGCCAGGGGUCUCCCUGCAGCUGGGGGGAGCAGGAUGUACUGGGUGGAGGGUCUCCCAUAGCUGGGGCCAGGGCCAGGAAGUGCUUGGUGGGCUCCCUGGAGAUGGUGGCACAGACCCACAAUUGUGGGGACAGAGGUACUCCUGCAGCUUAGGGGAGUGGAGAGGAGCCAGGAUGUUCUGGGGGGCUCCCUGUAUCUGCUGGUAGUGUGGGGCAGGGUGUACAGGGCAGGCUGGGGACUCCUGCAGCUUUUGAGGGGCUGGGCCAGGAUGUUCUAGUGGGGGAGGGGGUCCCUAUAUCUACAGGUAGUAUGGGGCAGGGUGUACAGGGCAGACUGGGGGCUCCUGCAGCUUUUGAGGGGCUGGGCCAGGAUAUGCUGGGAGACUCCCCAUAUCUUUGGGCAGUUUGGAGUAGGAUGGGCUGGGCAGGCUGGGCGCACUUGGAGCAGGAGCCCCUGAUACAGGCUUUGCUGGGGGCAGGGCUGCCGCCGCAGGGGGCUUGGGAGGUGCUGUCCACCAGGGCCCCCUUGGCUUUCUGCAGAUAUUUUUUAAACAAAUGCAAGCAGUUGGAAAUGUCACAGAUCCUGACUUUCAAGAUUCUUUUUACUCAGACCGUGCAGAAGAUCCGGGAGAUAGGCACCUCAGGAGGGUCUGUCUCAGGGCCUGCGCUGAGUGGGAAGGGUGCUGCCUUGGGGAAGGGUCCCCUGAGGGGAGGCGCAGUUCCCCAGGUGUGGGUGAGGGUCCUGUUUCGGCUGGAGGUGGAAGGUGGGGUCCUGGCGGAGCGUGCAGGUGGGUCUUUUUGUUGGAAUGGAGCCUGCUUCUCCUGAGCCCCCGUGCAUGAUGUGUCGCUGUCUGCAGUGCCUGCAGGGUUCCCAGCCCCUGAGGUCCUCAGCCACCAACAAAGCGAAAUGCUGCUGCAACCCUGGGCCUGUCGGGGAUGCACUCCCAGCUCCGGGAUUGACGUGUGGAAAAGGUGCACCUUGGUCGGGGUGUGUGGGCUUUGGUUCACUUCACCACCUGUGGGCCCCAUCGGAACUCUAGUCCCUCACUGCGGAGCAGACCCCCAGUGUCCUGGGAUACAGCCUGGGGCUCAGGAAUGGGCUGCUGAAGGGACAGUCUUAAGAAGCAGGCUGCCUGUCACUGCGAGUGCUUGGUGUUGGCGUGGCUCUUCUCUGUGAAGCUGUGAGGCCCAUGCCCCUGCAGAUGGCCCCAAGCUGCUGGGGCAGCAGGGCUGGCUUUUCGACUUUUUUGUUUUAGGCUGUCACUCACUGGGCAGAUGAGGCCAGGGCCUCCCUGUGCCUGGCCUGUGCCGAGCCCCUCGUCCCCAGCAUCUCCUAUGCUUCUUCUCCCCUCAGCCUCAGGGACAAAGCACAGCCCUGCCCUCUCCAGCCUCUCCCCAGCAGCUGUGGUGUGGACCCUGCCCGUGCGCUGCCCAUCUGGCCACGUUCUCAUUGGAGCUUCUCCACUGCUUCUGGGGCUCCGGGGCUCCCAGCCUCGGAGCACGUGGGAGCUUGAUGCCUUGAAAGCUGCCUUCCGAGGAAUGUAAUCACCGGUGUCCUGCCCCACGGGUGACAGCCUGUGGAAAUAGGUCAGGUGUAACCGAAUCCCUGCAGCCUCCAGAGAGGAACCCGCAGCCGGUUUCUGCUUUUGGAGCUUAGCCUGCGCCCACAGUGGAGUGCUUACAGCCCAGGGACACACUUCUCAGCGCUUCUGCUCCCUUCCCUCCUGUUUCUUCUCAUGAGCACCUGCCGUGAGCAAGGCCCUGCCAGGAGCUGAGCCCUUGGGGUGACCAGACAGCCAUGGAAGGGCCUCCCGGCCUGCAGCCUGGAUUGCUGUGGAAUCUCAUGUCUAGAGUAUGGGGCUGCAGGAUGGACAUGGAGGACCUCACGUGGGGACCAGAGGGACAGAACUCUAGCUGGGAGUCCCAAAAACUUCAGGGAAGGGGGAUUCGUGCAGAGCUUCACAGAUUUCUCAGCUGAGCUCGCAUCCCCACCCCAUGGCCUUUCCCCACAGGCCCACACCUGGAUGCCUGUGUGUGCCAUCUGAGCCGGGGGUGCUGCAGUCUCCGUCGGUCUCGUUCUGCCUGCAUCUGGACACUCUGUCCAGAGCACACACGGCAGGUGCUCAGAAAGUGUCUGCAGAAUGAGUAAACGUGUUUUCCUUCA